ensembl:lncRNA
AGGUGGGAGUACUGGAGAGGACAGUGGUGUUGUUACCAAGGUGAGAGUAAUGGAGAGGACAGUGGUGUUGUUACCAAGGUGGGAGUAAUGGAGAGGACAGUGGUGUUUCUACCAAGGUGGGAGUACUGUAGAGGACAGUGGUGUUGUUACCAAGGAGGGAGUACUGGAGAGGACAGUGGUGUUUCUACCAAGGUGGGAGUACUGUAGAGGACAGUGGUGUUGUUACCAAGGAGGGAGUACUGGAGAGGACAGUGGUGUUUCUACCAAGGUGGGAGUACUGGAGAGGACAGUGGUGUUUCUACCAAGGUGGGAGUACUGUAGAGGACAGUGGUGUUG